GAACGGAAGGGGAGGGAAGCGGGAGAGGCGCUGGGUUCCCCGGGGCAGGAAGCGGCGGCCGGGGGCUCCGGGAAGGGCCCGGGUGAGGGGCGCCUCCGGGUCCCGGCAGCCAUGCCCUUGUCUCCCUCCCGGGCACGGAGCCGGGGCCCGGCGGGGCGGCGAAGCGCGGUGAGGGACCGGGACAGGGAGCGGCAGCACCGAGCCCAGGUGAGGGACGCCGGGGGGUUCCGGGGCUGGGAGGGGGCGGUCUGGCGCCGGGGGCGGCUGCUGGGCGCGGGCCGGGCCCUGCCGGGGAGCCCCAGCCCCGGGGGCCUCGCUGGGGACGGCCCUGCCCGGCCCCGGCCCUCUGCCCGCCGGGGCUGGCCGUGCAGCCCAAGGCCGGCCCUGCAUCGGUGUAGCUCCAGCCCAGGGAAAUUUCAGCUCCAGCCCUACAGUUUUUAUUUGAACUCCAGUUCUGUGGUCUUUGGGUUUGCUCCAGCCCCACAGCAGUGAUUUCGGCCCCAGGCCUAUGGUCCUUAGCCCAGCUCUGUGUGAUUUCAGCCUCAGCCCUUCUGGUCUGUAUUUCAGCUCCACUCCCAGCCCGACUGCAGUGAUUUCAGCUCCAGCCCUACAGUUUUUAUUCCAGCUCUGAGUGAUUUCAGUUCUGGCCCUACAGUAUUUAUUUCAGCUCCAGGUUCGGUGUUUCAGCUCCAGCCGCAGUCGUUCUUCAGCCCCAGCUCUGUCACAUCUCAGCUCCAGCCCCACAGCAGUGAUUUCAGCUCCAGCCCUGCCAUCUUUAGUCCAGCUCUGGGUGAUUUCAGCUCAGGCCCUACAGUAUUUAUUUCAGCUCCAGGUUCAGUAUUUCAGCUGUUAGAUUUCAGCUCCAUUCCCAGCCCCACAGCAGUGAUUUCAGCCCCAGCCCUACCAUCUUUAGUCCAGCUCUGGGUGAUUUCAGCUCAGGCCCUACACUCUGUAUUUCAGCCCCUGCCCUCAAGGAUUUCUUUCAGCUCCGGGCACAGUUGUUAUUCAGCUCCAGCUUUGUCAUGUUUCAGCCCCAGCCCUACAGUUCUUAUGGCAGCUCUGGCCCUGAAGGAUUUAUUUCAGCUCCAGGUUCAGUAUUUCAGCUGUUAGAUUUGAGCUCCACUCCCAGCCCCACAGCAGUGAUUUCAGCCCCAGCCCUACCAUCUUGAUUCCAGCUCCAGAGAUUUCAGCCCCACAGCUUUUAUUCCAGCUCCAUUCCCAGCCCUACAGUUUUUAUUUCAGCUCUGGCCCUACAGUAUUUAUUUCAGCUCCAGGUUCGGUGUUUCAGCUCCAGCCGCAGUCGUUCUUCAGCCCCAGCUCUGUCCUGGCUCAGCUCCAGCCCCACAGCAGUGAUUUCAGCUCCAGCCCUGCCAUCUUUAGUCCAGCUCUGGGUGAUUUCAGCUCAGGCCCUGUGGUUUUUAUUUCAGCUCUGAGUGAUUUCAGCCCCAGCCCUACAGUUUUGAUUUCAACUCCAGCUCCAGGUUUGGUAUUUCAGCUCCAGCCCCACAGCAGUGAUUUCAGCCCUGGCCCUACAGUUUUUAUUUCAGCUCUGAGUGAUUUCAGCUCUGGCCGUACAGUAUUUAUUUCAGCUCUGGCCCUGAAGGAUUUCUUUCAGCUCCAGCCCCAGGUUCAGUAUUUCAGCUGUUAGAUUUCAGCUCCGGCCCUACAGUUUUUAGUCCAGCUCUGUUAGAUUUCAGCCCCAGCUGUACAGUUUUUAUUUCAGCUUCAGGUUUGGUAUUUCAGCUCCAGCUGCAGUCAUUCUUCAGCCCGAGCCCCACAUCAGACAUUUCAGCCCCGGCACUACAGUUUUUAUUCCAGCUCUGAGUGAUUUCAGCUCCAGGUUUGGUGUUUCAGCUCCAGCCGCAGUCGUUCUUCAGCUCCAGCUCUGUCACAUCUCAGCCGCAGCCCCACAGCAGUGAUUUCAGCUCCAACCCUGCCAUCCUGAUUUCAUCUCCCACCCUACAGUAGCUAUUGAACCCCAGGAUUUCCACUCCAGGCCUGUGCUGUUUCCCCUCCCACCCCCCCCCCACUCUUUAUUUCACCCCCCAGCCUCACAGACUUUCUUACGGCUCCAGCUCUGCGUUGUUUCAGCUUCAGCCCUGCAGUGUUUAGCUCAGCCUCAGCUCUACAUCUUCCUGCUGCCUCCGUGUUCUCACAGCAGCUCUGGGGGCUGUUGAUAAGAGGGGAGUUUGGCCUGGUGCAUGCUGGCAUCCCAUGUUUCAGGGGCAAAUAAAACCAGACCCCCACCUCUGCUUGUUUUCAGGCCCAGAAACACAGCACUCUGGGGACUUUUGGAGCAGCUGAACCCCAGGACUGAGCUGGGCUGUUCAGCCCCAACCACAGAACUUCAUCCUCCUUUGGGGGGCUGGAAACACCCUUGAGGCUGCUGCUGUGGCCCAUGUGUGAAGGGAAAGGGGGGCCACAGCCCAGGGAGUGCUUGGGAACUGCAGGCACCCACCCAGACAGGGAAAGCUUCAUUGCACUUUAUUCCACUUGAUUUUUCAAUUAUCGUUAUGCAUUACACUUCUUGUAAUAAACCAACACAAUAGCUUUAUUAGCAGUACUAGUUACAGUAUUGUUUAAAAGCCAAGCACGCCCCCCUCCCCCCACCCCCCCACUCGCGGCAACAUCCGCGGGGAGCCGGGCCCGGGAACCCCCACGCAGCCCGGCCGCGCCCCGACCCCCCACCCGACCCCCGCUGGGGCUCGGCACCCGCCCCGUGUAGCGGCCGGCGCCCCUCCUCGCUCGGCGCCGCUCCGGCCGCCGCUGCCCGACACAAGCGGGGAAGAGCCAACAGAACGCGACCUGGCUGUCACGCCGGGCA